ACCCCGUUUGUCGUCAUCGAUUGACAUAGAAUGAUGACUAUCAUCCUCAUCAUCCUCAGUAUCCUCCGUUAUUGGCCUGUCUUCCUUUCCACUACGGUCCUCAUCCGUAAUUUCACCGUUCAGGAUAUUACCUAGAUCGCUACUAACGGAGCCGUUGGAGAGUUCAUCCGCUUCGGAUGUAAGCUCGAGAUCAUGCUCCCCAUUUUGGGUCUCAUGGGCCUUUUUAUGAGAGUUGGAUUUGGAACGGAGGAUGUUGGCCUCUGAUUUUUUUAGUAAAUCAAGCUCGUGAGCGGUCUCUUGCGCAGAGACAUUAAGCACUCUGUUUGCCUGUUCCCAGAUCUGGCGCACUGUAAAACCAUUGGCAUGAAUUUCCUGCAGGUGUAGUGUUUGGGAACGAAAAGGGUGAGGUCUGUCAACACCUUUUCGGGUAUGCGUGUGCUGAAGGCGUCUUUUCUGAGCUUCAGUGAUGUCUGAUGCAAGCGGGUCGAGAUAGCGCUUUGCCACUUCUAUCCAUUCUGUAUGUAAGAAAGUCGUUGGUUUUAAGAAAACCUCUGGGGCC
rnacentral:sRNA from 1 species